rnacentral:lncRNA from 1 species
GCCGUCUAUAUGUUCCCCUGUUGGUUGGUAUUGUUUAAUAAUCGUGCAUCUGCUAUAGGGCGUUCUUUAAGAUCCCCGGGUCGGUCCAUAGAAUCUCUAGGUCGGUCUAUAGGAGCCCUGUUGUUUGUUCAUAAUGUAUCUAUUGGAGGGCGUUCUACAGGAUCCCCUGGGCGGUCUAUAGGAUUCCCUGUGGUUUAAUAAUUGUGUAUCUGCUAUAGGGUGUUCUAUAGGAUCCCGUUGUUAAGUAAUCAUGUAUCUACUAUAGGGAGCGUUCUAUGGGAUCCCCUGUUGGGUCUAUAGGAUCACCUGUUGUGCAAUAUUCGUGUAUCUGCUAUAGGGCGUUUUAUAGGAUCCCCAGGGCGGUCUAUAGGAUCCCCUGUUCGUUGUUCAUGUAUCUAUAACAGGGUGUUCUAUACGAUACCCUGGGCGGUUUAUAGGAUCCCCGGGUCGGUCUUAGGAUCCCCUCUUGUUUAAUAGUCGUGCAUCUGCUAUAGGACGUUCUUUGUUAUCCCUUUCAAAGGGGGCAUAUUAUAUUGUUAUUGUUCGUUUCUUUUUUUUUUCAUUUCGUUUAUAAUAUAUCUUCUUAAGUGUAUAAUAUAUCUUAUUGAAUUAAUAAGAUAUCUUAUAAAGUAUAAAAGCUAUCUUUUAAAGUUGAUAAGAUAUCUUAUAAAGA